rnacentral:rRNA from 1 species
UACAGAGGGUGCAAGCGUUUGUUCGGAAUUAUUGGGCGUAAAGGGCGCGUAGGCGGUGCGGUAAGUCUGUAGUGAAAUCUCUGGGCUCAACUCAGAGUCUGCUGUGGAAACUGCCGUGCUAGAGUGUGGGAGAGGUGAGUGGAAUUCCCGGUGUAGCGGUGAAAUGCGCAGAUAUCGGGAAGAACACCCGUGGCGAAGGCGGCUCUCUGGGACGGUACUGACGCUGAGACGCGAAAGCGUGGGGAGCGAACAGG